GCCCAGCACCGAAUCCUUCACCAUCUCGGUGACAGGAAAUGUGGUGUUUAGGCCGUACCUUGUCCCGAUACGUCUCUCCUCAAGUCCACUUGAUUGUGGCCCCAGGCCCAGAGAGGGUGUAAGGCCCGUUGAGGCGAGACGUUCGGUACCUGGUGCGUCCUUAGAGUCGGGUUGUUUGGGAAUGCAGCCCUAAGCGGGUGGUAAACUCCAUCCAAGGCUAAAUACCAGCACGAGUCCGAUAGCGAAGAAGUACCGCGAGGGAAGGUUGAAAAGAACUUUGAAGAGAGAGUUCAAGAGUACGUGAAACCGCUGAGAGGCAAACUGGUGGAACUGAAAUGGUCCCGAGGAAUUCAGCCGUUGGAGGUUGUGCAGUCUUUGGUGCUUGAUUUAACGACAACGCCAUUGAAUGGUGCUUCCGCCAUCGGUGCACUUUCCUCGUAAUUGGGCCCGACCACGACCGGUGAGCUGACCUGUCUGUCGUGCUUGGAAGAUAGCGUCAUCUUCGGAAGGCGUGUUAUAGACUUGCACACGGAGCAGUCGGCGCACUGGAAAAUAGUGCCUGCCCUCUGGGCUCAUAUGGUGGUUGUUUUGUUGGCGAGUUCCGAUGUCACUACUUCGGUAGAGUCGUUGGACUCUGUCGGCAUUAUGGUCGUCCUCUAUGAUUGGCACUGGUAAGUCUGUGGUUGUGAAGUAGGUAGUCCACCUGACCCGUCUUGAAACACGGACCAAGGAGUCUAACAUGUGCGCGAGUCAUUGGGUUCACGAAACCUAAAGGCGCAGUGAAGGUAAAGAUCUGUUUUGGCAGAUUGAGGUGGGAUGCUGGGUUACGCGCCCAGCCGCACUACCGGCCCGUUCUAUAUGUAUCUCAUAGGAGCGGAGCAAGAGCGUACACGUUGGGACCCGAAAGAUGGUGAACUAUGCUUGCGCAGGUCGAAGCCAGAGA
rnacentral:rRNA from 1 species